rnacentral:rRNA from 1 species
AUACGGAGGAUCCGAGCGUUAUCCGGAUUUAUUGGGUUUAAAGGGUGCGCAGGCGGCCAUUUAAGUCAGCGGUUAAAUCUUGGGGCUCAACCCCAUUCUGCCGUUGAUACUGGGUGGCUUGAUUGCGGUCGAGGUUGGCGGAAUUCGUUGUGUAGCGGUGAAAUGCAUAGAUAUGACGAAGAACAUCGAUUGCGUAGGCAGCUGACCAGACCGCAAAUGACGCUCAUGCACGAAAGUGCGGGGAUCGAACAGGAUUAGAUACCCUGGUAGUCCACACAGUAAACGAUGAAUACUCGCUGUUUGCGAUAUACAGUAAGCGGCCAAGCGAAAGCGUUAAGUAUUCCACCUGGGGAGUACGCCGGCAACGGUGAAACUCAAAGGAAUUGACGGGG